rnacentral:rRNA from 1 species
AGGCUUAGACAGCUAGGAGGUUGGCUUAGAAGCAGCCACCCUUUAAAGAAAGCGUAAUAGCUCACUAGUCGAGUCGGCCUGCGCGGAAGAUGUAACGGGGCUCAAACCAUACACCGAAGCUACGGGUUCAUCCUUUGGAUGAGCGGUAGAGGAGCGUUCUGUACGCCUGUGAAGGUCAGUUGUAAAGCUGGCUGGAGGUAUCAGAAGUGCGAAUGCUGACAUGAGUAACGACAAUGGGUGUGAAAAACACCCACGCCGAAAGACCAAGGGUUCCUGCGCAACGUUCAUCGGCAAAGGGUUAGUCGGUCCUAAGGGAAUCCCGAAAGGGGGACUCGAUGGAUAGCAGGUUAAUAUUCCUGCACACUGCUAUGUUCCUAUGGAGGGACGGAGUGUUGUACCUAGAGCCCCUUAUUGGAUUGGGGUAGGAGCUAUGAGGACGUUACUUAGGCAAAUCCGGGUAACAAUAGUCCAAGUAGGGUCUAAAUGUGCGGCUACGGCCAAGCAAAUUCUAGAGAGCACGCUUCCGAGAAAAACUUCGUUUGGGUUAAGCAUAGUGGUUCCGUACCGCAAACCGACACAGGUGGUAGAGUCGAGAAGACUAAGGCGAACAAGUGAGAGGUCCUCAAGGAACUCGGCAAAAUAGCGGCCGUAACUUAGGGAUAAGGCCCGCCUCCAUAGCAAUAUGUGGGGCCGCAGCGAAAGAUUUCCUGCCGACUGUUUAACAAAAACACAGCUCUCUGCGAAGACGUAAGUCCAUGUAUAGAGGGUGACGCCUGACCUAUGCUGGAAGGUUAAAUACGGGGGGUGCAAUGAGAUUCGUCUUGUUGUGCUGGACUGUAUAAGCCCCAGUAAAUGUCAGCGAUAACUAUAAUCGUUCUAAGGUAGCGUAUUUCCUUGUCGGGUAAGUUCCGACGUGCACGAAUGGCGUAACGAGUGGGAAACUGUCUCGAGGACCUGCUCGGUGAAAAUACAAUCGCGGUAAAGAUGCCGCGUACCUGCAGUUAGACGAAAAGACCCCAGGAGCUUUACUGUAGCUUCGUAUUGGGAUUGUUGAAUUAAUGCGUAGUAUAGGUGUGAGACUUUGAAGCGGGCUUUCGGGUACCGUGGAGUCGCCAGUGAAAUAGCACCCUUUAUUUUGGCAGUCUCUAACCAGCUAGGAAAAACCUAGUUGAGACAGUGCGUGGCAGGCAGUUUUAGUGGGGCGCUACCCUCCCAAAUCGUAACGGAGGGGUCUCAAGGUUGGUUAGCCGCGAAUGGAAACCGUGGCGAUAGUGUAAUGGCAUAAACCAGCUUGACUGUAAGGCGUAGAUGCCGAACAGACACGAAAGUGGAGCAUAGUGAACCGAUGGUACGCGUUAGAUGCGGCCGGAGAUUAUCCGACAAAAGUUACCCUGGGGAUAACAGGCUAGUCGUGCCCAAGCGUCCAUAGCGACGGCACGGUUCGGCACCUCGAUGUCGGCUCAACUUAUCCUGGGGCUGGAGCAGGUCCCAAGGGUUUGGCUGUUCGCCAAUUAAAAAGUUACGCGAGCUGGGUUUAGACCGUCGUGAGACAGGUUGGUCUCCUAUCUACUGCAGGCGUCGAUACUUGACGAGAUUUGUCCCUAGUACGAGAGGACCGGGAUGAACGAACCUCUGGUCUAUCGGCUGUCACGCCAGUGGCACUGCCGAGUAGCUAUGUUCGGAACGGAUAACCGCUGAAAGCAUCUAAGCGGGAAGCCGCCUCCAAGAUUAGGAAUCAUUAAACCUUAUCGUGACUGGGAAAC